rnacentral:rRNA from 1 species
ACGGGAGGCAGCAGUGGGGAAUAUUGGGCAAUGGAGGAAACUCUGACCCAGCAACGCCGCGUGGAGGAAGAAGGUUUUCGGAUCGUAAACUCCUGUCCUUGGAGACGAGUAGAAGACGGUAUCCAAGGAGGAAGCCCCGGCUAACUACGUGCCAGCAGCCGCGGUAAUACGUAGGGGGCAAGCGUUGUCCGGAAUAAUUGGGCGUAAAGGGCGCGUAGGCGGCUCGGUAAGUCUGGAGUGAAAGUCCUGCUUUUAAGGUGGGAAUUGCUUUGGAUACUGUCGGGCUUGAGUGCAGGAGAGGUUAGUGGAAUUCCCAGUGUAGCGGUGAAAUGCGUAGAGAUUGGGAGGAACACCAGUGGCGAAGGCGACUAACUGGACUGUAACUGACGCUGAGGCGCGAAAGUGUGGGGAGCAAACAGGAUUAGAUACCCUGGUAGUCCACACUGUAAACGAUGAAUGCUAGGUGUAGGGGGUAUCGACCCCUUCUGUGCCGCAGUCAACACAAUAAGCAUUCCGCCUGGGGAAUA